rnacentral:rRNA from 1 species
UACGUAGGGUGCAAGCGUUAAUCGGAAUUACUGGGCGUAAAGCGUGCGCAGGCGGUGAUGUAAGACAGAGGUGAAAUCCCCGGGCUCAACCUGGGAACUGCCUUUGUGACUGCAUCGCUAGAGUACGGUAGAGGGGGGUGGAAUUCCGCGUGUAGCAGUGAAAUGCGUAGAUAUGCGGAGGAACACCGAUGGCGAAGGCAGCCCCCUGGACCUGUACUGACGCUCAUGCACGAAAGCAUGGGGAGCAAACAGG